GCUCUUCCUUCUACAUUUACCCCUCUGCACUGAGGGAGGAGGAACUGUUGUUGGAGACCGACUGUAGGACUUUCAUCACAGACUGCAGUCAAUGACUUUCACCAUGACUAUUAUAACCAGCCUGAUUCUGAUUACAGUGUUCUUAAAAAGUGUUAAUUGUCAGACACUGACUGAGUCUGAACCAGCAGUUAAAAAGCCUGGAGAAUCCCACAAACUGACCUGCACAGCCUCUGGGUUCACAUUUAGCAGCUAUGCAAUGAGCUGGAUCAGACAGGCUCCUGGGAAGGGACUGGAGUGGGUGGCUGAGAUCAGUAGUGGUGGUGGCAGCACAUAUUAUGCCACGUCUGUUAAGGGAAGAUUCACCAUCACCAGAGACAACAGCAAGAACCAGCUGUAUUUACAGAUGAACAGGCUGACAGCUGAAGACGCUGCUGUGUAUUACUGUGCCAGAGACACACAGUGAGAGAGAGUGAGGGGAGAGCUGCACAAAAACCUCUUCCC